rnacentral:rRNA from 1 species
GAUGAACGCUGGCGGCGUGCCUAAUACAUGCAAGUCGAGCGAACAGACGAGGAGCUUGCUCCUCUGACGUUAGCGGCGGACGGGUGAGUAACACGUGGAUAACCUACUUAUAAGACUGGGAUAACUUCGGGAAACCGGAGCUAAUACCGGAUAAUAUAUUGAACCGCAUGGUUCAAUAGUGAAAUACGGUUUUGCUGUCACUUAUAGAUGGAUCCGCGCCGCAUUAGCUAGUUGGUAAGGUAACGGCUUAUCAAGGCAACGAUGCGUAGCCGACCUGAGAGGGUGAUCGGCCACACGGGAACUGAGACACGGUCCAGACUCCUACGGGAGGCAGCAGUAGGGAAUCUGCCGCAAUGGGCGAAAGCUUGACGGAGCAACGCCGCGUGAGUGAUGAAGGUCUUCGGAUCGUAAAACUCGGUUAUUAGUGAAGAACAAAUGUGUAAGUAACUAUGCACGUCUUGACGGUACCUAAUCAGAAAGCCACGGCUAACUACGUG